rnacentral:rRNA from 1 species
UUGACCUCGAAUCAGGUGGGGAUACCCGCUGAACUUAAGCAUAUCAAUA